UUAUAAUAUGUCUCAAGUUUGAACCAACAAACGAAAUUGACAUAAGACGAAUUGUUACUUAUGUGGACUUUCAAGUAUUGAGCAAAGAAAGAUGGCACGAGCACGUAAUCUUUCUUUGGCAAUUGUUAGAUGUAAAAAGAAAAAAAAAAAAGAAGAAGAAGAUAAAGUAUAAU